UCGAGGAUCUUCGGCAAUGGGCGCAAGCCUGACCGAGCGACGCCGCGUGUGCGAUGAAGGCCUUCGGGUUGUAAAGCACUUUCGGGGGGGAGGAAAGCCCGCAAGGGUCUGACCGAUCCCCAGAAGAAGCACGGGCUAAGUUCGUGCCAGCAGCCGCGGUAAGACGAACCGUGCGAACGUUGUUCGGAAUCACUGGGCUUAAAGGGCGCGUAGGCGGUUCGCCAAGUCAGGGGUGAAAUCUUUCGGCUCAACCGGAAAAGUGCCCCUGAUACUGGCGUGCUGGAGGCAGGUAGGGGCAUGUGGAACUUCCGGUGGAGCGGUGAAAUGCGUAGAUAUCGGAAGGAACGCCGGUGGCGAAAGCGACGUGCUGGACCUGUCCUGACGCUGAUGCGCGAAAGCUAGGGGAGCAAACGGGAUUAGAUACCCCUGUAGUCC
rnacentral:rRNA from 1 species